UCCUUCGGCCCCGAGCAGCCGCGCCGCCGGAGCUUGCGAACCCCGCUGCCACCUCGACUCCUCCGCGUCCGGUGCGAUGCCGGAGAAUCCGUCGCAUCUGGGCGAGCUUACCAUCGAGAAGCAGCCGCCGCGCUGUCCUCCUGCUUUGACUUUUCCCGUCCUUCCCUGCUCUUCUCUCACCUUUCUCUGCCUUGCCUCCACAGGGAGACCGGGACGCCGGCGGCACGCGGAACGACACCACCCCAACUGGAUCCACACCCUCCUCCAUUGCCUGCUCUCGAGUCAUCAGUCCUCGGCUCGAAUCGGUCUUGCUGGUAGCCGUCGUUGCCAAAUCUUAGCUUGGCCGCCCGCUGAAAGAUCCAGCAACCUUGCGCCUCUCACCGUCGAUGGCGGUAGGAAUGACGGAGCCGUGCAUGUGGCGGCGCGCAUGUGGUGCGAGCGGAGCAACCGCCUUGCAGAGCGCCUGCAGGGCUGCAGCGCGCUCUGCCUCGAGCAGCACGCAUGGGUCGCGACUGAGACGUCAGAGGAGCUUCAGCAGAAGGUAAUGUGUACAGAGAACGAGGAUGCCAAGCCAAAUUUUUUCAACGAGGAUUUCAAGUUUGAGUUCUGAAGACCGUUAGAGAUAUGAACUGGUGGUGAGUUCAAUGAUAUCCAAAAUUGUUGGUCAAACAUGAAAGGAUGCACAUUCGUUUUUGAAGACUGAAAAAAACGUUUCAUGAAGCAACCUUGAGGUGCCGCCAUGGCAACAUCCAUGAGACUAUACAGAUCCUGAGGGAAAGAGUUGCGAUGGGCCGAUGGCGCAUCUAUUCACACCAUGGACAUUCAUCGCCUGCUACUGAUGCGCCCACUCUGAAGGCAAGCAAAAGAUGCUAUUCCUAAAGGUUGUUGUUGACACCCAAAAAGCUCCUCGGUAGACAUGUUCCUCUCCGGCACAUCACUUGGUGGAUCUAGAGGGGAAACCAUCAGCUUAUGAAAAAGGGCAACUAAACUGGCUGCUAUUGUUCCUUACCAAGAGUAAUUUCCCCAGUGCCUAACAUACAAUUUGGUUUGUUGCAUCAUGAUAAGGUCUUCAUGAUGUGCACAGGCAUGCGUAUUUUUACAUUUAAUCUGUUUUCCUAUCUUACAUCCAUGCAUUCACAUAUUAGAGGAUAAAUAUGUUGCAGGCUCUUAUCUACAUGCAUGAAUGUUAAAUCUGUAUCCAAUGGUAAAGUUGGCUUUAUCAGGAAAAAGGAUCAUGGAAUAACAUGCGAGGUGUAUAUUGUUGUUAGCAUCUGCUUAUUUUGAUGCAUUCUAUUUGCAUACAUAUACCAAGUUUUUCGUCAAAUACAUAUAUUGCAGGACAAUGGAUGAUCGAGUAGCACUCAAGAUGGCAAGGUGGUUGAGAUUUACGAACUGUUGUAUCUUGAGGACUCAUGAUGCAGUUGUAUGUUGAUACAUGUAGAUUUAUGACUAUUGCCAUAUCAUCCAGUGUAUCUAUCUAUCUAUGCCUCCUUAACUUCAACAUAUUUACCUUGAAUAAUUAUGGUUUAAUACA